GACUUCGGGAUAGCUCAGCCGGUAGGGCGUGAGGACCCUCGGGGUCGCGGGUUUGAGCCCCGCGCAGGGCA